UGAAGUCACUGGGAGGUGCAGUAUCUGCUUCAAUUAGUUUUGGUAAAUAAAUAACCAAAUCAUAAUUGAGUUUUCUGAUGUUACUGCAUAAUUAAUAUGAAAAAAAUAUCCAA